ACGAGGAAGUAAGAACGGUGCAAGCUGAGCAGAGGUUUUGGUUCAGAAAACCACAUUAAAACUUUUAGAACUUCUCUUACGUCCUGUUAAUUAUGUUAUAGCUUAUAAUUAUUUAUCUUUUUAUCACUCUGCCUAUUCAGUUCAUUUAUUUUUAAUAUUAUUCGUUUUGCACUUUCCAUUGUUGAGUGAGACCGGGAACAGAGUGUGAUGCGGGAGAAUUGAAAGUUCCAGAAACAAUUCAUUACCGUUUUGACUUGAAUGAUGUCUGAGUUACAAAAAGAGAUUAAGCAAACCUUACUGUGAGUAAUACCAGGCCUUCCUGACGAGCCACUCAAUCAGUCAGUUGAGAAAUGUGUAGGCUGAGGAGUAGAAGAUUUAAUGUACGUGAAAGAAGAGGACAUCUUAAGAGUUCAUACAACCUGUUCAGUGCCAAACUGUUCACAUGGUAAGUCCGACAAUAAGCUAAUUAUGUUGUGCACAUUGUUUGUUGUGACACUCUAGAACUGAUAUCUCAUUACAUUUUUCAGAACAAAGAAACGGCAUUUUGGUUCAGUAAUUAGUUUGACCUAUAGGUCUCCUCAAAAUUCACCACAAAUGAGCUCCUCAGGCUCCUCAGUAAGAAAAUGGAUGGACUCACGCUUCAAGCAGAUGAACACUCAACUUGCCUGACAGUCCUUGCAUUAUAAUUCUUGGUCAAACUCUAAGCAACCAGCAGUGGAUGGUGAGCAUUGAAGGUCACGUUGUAUGUGAGGGAACACAACUCAGCUUUGUCUGUGGCCGUACUGCUGUGUUUGCUUCAUGUGUGGACACUUUUUCUUUGGUGUCGUUUCUUGUGACUGAAGACAGAGAAAGCAAAAUUAAAAUGAUAUAUUGACAUCAACCCUGAACAAAUGUCCAAGGCCAAUCAAGGAAAAGCUACAUCCAAGAAGACUAGCCAAGUAGUCCAUAACAAGAAGAACGCAGUAAACCCUCAUUUUUCCUAUCCACUUUGUAAGAUAAUGGACUUUGAACGGAAUUCAUUCAAGACCACUUUGUUCACUUUUAAUUUUGACAGUUUAGGCAAUUUUUGUCUAACAUGGUGUUCUUAUUCUAUUUUAAUGUGAAAGUCAACAUUGGUGUUAUACUUUUAAAUUUAGUAUUGAAUGCUGCACUAUGUUUAUUGCCAGUGUUUCCCACCUCUGUUGCAACCAUUUGUGUUUAUCUGAAAUAAUAAAAGACUGCUAACAAUUAAAAAAACUGGUAAUGUAAAAAGCUAAUCAAGACCAUAAAAAUAAAUGUUUAUUGGAAUGUUUCAAAUGAAAGAAGCAUUAUUUGUUUAAAUUAAUCUGUAAGUAAAUAUUG